AUUGAACGCUGGCGGCAUGCCUUACACAUGCAAGUCGAACGGUAACAGGUCUUCGGAUGCUGACGAGUGGCGAACGGGUGAGUAAUACAUCGGAACGUGCCCAGACGUGGGGGAUAACGAGGCGAAAGCUUUGCUAAUACCGCAUACGAUCUAAGGAUGAAAGCAGGGGACCGCAAGGCCUUGCGCGUUUGGAGCGGCCGAUGGCAGAUUAGGUAGUUGGUGGGAUAAAAGCUUACCAAGCCGACGAUCUGUAGCGGGUCUGAGAGGACGACCAGCCACACUGGGACUGUGACACGGCCCAGACUCCUUCGGGAGGCAGCAGUGGGGAAUUUUGGACAAUGGGCGAAAGCCUGAUCCAGCAAUGCCGCGUGCAGGAUGAAGGCCUUCGGGUUGUAAACUGCUUUUGUACGGAACGAAAAGGCUCUGGCUAAUACCUGGGGCACAUGACGGUACCGUAAGAAUAAGCACCGGCUAACUACGUGC
rnacentral:rRNA from 1 species